rnacentral:rRNA from 1 species
AUUGAACGCUGGCGGCAUGCUUUACACAUGCAAGUCGAACGGUAACAGGCCUUCGGGUGCUGACGAGUGGCGAACGGGUGAGUAAUGCAUCGGGACGUACCCAGAGGUGGGGGAUAACGCAGCGAAAGCUGUGCUAAUACCGCAUGUGAUCUGAGGAUGAAAGCGGGGGACCGAGCAGCAAUGUUUGGCCUCGCGCCUUUGGAGCGGCCGAUGUCGGAUUAGCUAGUUGGUGGGGUAAAGGCCUACCAAGGCGACGAUCCGUAGCUGGUCUGAGAGGACGACCAGCCACACUGGGACUGAGACACGGCCCAGACUCCUACGGGAGGCAGCAGUGGGGAAUUUUGGACAAUGGGCGCAAGCCUGAUCCAGCAAUGCGGCGUGCGGGAAGAAGGCCUUCGGGUUGUAAACCGCUUUUGGCAGGAACGAAACGGUGUCCGCUAAUACCGGGCGCUAAUGACGGUACCUGCAGAAUAAGCACCGGCUAACUACGUG